UACGGGGGGGGCAAGCGUUGUUCGGAAUUACUGGGCGUAAAGGGCUCGUAGGUGGCCAACUAAGUCAGACGUGAAAUCCCUCGGCUUAACCGGGGAACUGCGUCUGAUACUGGAUGGCUUGAGUUUGGGAGAGGGACGCGGAAUUCCAGGUGUAGCGGUGAAAUGCGUAGAUAUCUGGAGGAACACCGGUGGCGAAGGCGGGUCUCUGGGCGAGUGAAC
rnacentral:rRNA from 1 species